GUGCCAGCCGCCGCGGUAAUACGUAGGGUGCAAGCGUUAAUCGGAAUUACUGGGCGUAAAGCGUGCGCAGGCGGUUAUAUAAGACAGAUGUGAAAUCCCCGGGCUCAACCUGGGAACUGCAUUUGUGACUGUAUAGCUAGAGUACGGCAGAGGGGGAUGGAAUUCCGCGUGUAGCAGUGAAAUGCGUAGAUAUGCGGAGGAACACCGAUGGCGAAGGCAAUCCCCUGGGCCUGUACUGACGCUCAUGCACGAAAGCGUGGGGAGCAAACAGGAUUAGAUACCCUGGUAGUCCACGCCCUAAACGAUGUCAACUGGUUGUUGGGUCUUCACUGACUCAGUAACGAAGCUAACGCGAUAAGUGAUUCGCCUGGGGAGUACGAUCGCAAGGUUGAAACUCAAAGGAAUUGGCGG
rnacentral:rRNA from 1 species